GUAAGCCCGUCAGAUUCGAUCUAGCUAGGCUGGUUAGAUCGAGGCAUGCAGCAGGGCAAUCAAACCGAUCGACUAAGAGCCAAGGGAACCCCAAAUGGAUUAUGUAGCUGAUCAUAGAAUUACAGUGGCUGACAAGAAAAAUAUAGGAAUGUAGUAGCAGCGUCAAAAUACAACAUAAAGCAACUGCGAGGAUUUUGUAUGGGUAACCAAAGACGACCUUUUGAAAUUCUUUCCUGAGCAAGCUGAAUUCUUCAACAAGAUGAUCAUCAGCUGAGUCACUCUCACCAGAAAAUUACUAUUUUAAUCCUUUCUGGGAUCAAGAGCAGGAAGAAGAGGCAAGACACCCAUGGUUAAGGAUCCACUAAUGGGAGGAGAAAAAUUAAUAACAAGUUAGUGAGGGUCUUGAGAUAUAAAAUAGUAUUAAUUAAAACUUAAGAUAUCAUCAUAGUAACACUAAUGUGGAUGCUCUCAAUGGUAGUUAACUUGUAUUAUCGUCUUUUAUAAAAUACAGCACAACGUCUCCAAAUCAGAGUCGUAUGCUUUUAAGCACGCUUCCAAACGUCUCAUAUUGGGAAUCACGUUGGAAUGUUGUGCUCUAUACAGUAGACGCGCCUCUCCUUCCGCCUCUUCUUAUGCUUAGCGCUCCGCUUCUGGUUCCGGGGCGAGAAACGCAUCAUCACCCGCGAUACCAUGCUUCCUAGA